CGCACCUUGCGCCCUCUGGUAUUCCGGAGGGCAUGCCUGUUUGAGUGUCAUGUAGACUCAUCCUUUCGGGUUUCCGAAAUGUGAUGGAUUUGGAGGUCUGCCUUUGUUGGCUCCUCUUAAAUGUCUGGUGUAGACGUAAUAAGUUUCGUCAUCGUCACCUCUUAUGCCAGCAAUGGUAUACUACUUGUACUCUGACCUCAAAUCAGGUAGGGCUACCCGCUGAACUUAA
rnacentral:misc_RNA from 1 species